rnacentral:rRNA from 1 species
CUUGGUCAUUUAGAGGAAGUAAAAGUCGUAACAAGGUUUCCGUAGGUGAACCUGCGGAAGGAUCAUUACAAAUAAAGCCGGAAGGAAGUGGGGUCUUGAUGUGUAAGUGGUAGAGCGAACAGUCCGGCUGCCUCCCGAAAUGUCUUGCAUGUCCCCCAUGGCCCGAAGGCCGAAUUACAACCCUUGAUUAUUUACACUUGUUGCUUUGGGGUGCUCAAGUGCCCCAGAGGACCAAAACUCUUGCAUUUAUUGACGUCUGAGUACUAUAUAAUAGUUAAAACUUUCAACAACGGAUCUCUUGGUUCUGGCAUCGAUGAAGAACGCAGCGAAAUGCGAUAAGUAAUGUGAAUUGCAGAAUUCAGUGAAUCAUCGAAUCUUUGAACGCACAUUGCGCCCUCUGGUAUUCCGGAGGGCAUGCCUGUUCGAGCGUCAUUAGACCAAUCAAGCACGGCUUGGUGUUGGGGCCCGCCGGUGGCGGCCCUUAAAAACAGUGGCGGUGCCGUCUGGCUCUCAGCGUAGUAAUUUUUCUUGCUAUUGGGUCCGGCUGGUUGCUUGCCAUCAACCCCUAAUUUACUCAGGUUGACCUCGGAUCAGGUAGGGAUACCCGCUGAACUUAAGCAUAUCAAUAAGCGGAGGA